rnacentral:misc_RNA from 1 species
CUUAAAAAUGCCAACGGUCAAAGAAGAAAUCGGCAGGUAGGUAGAAAAAUACAAGGAAAGAACGGCAACACAACCAACUAAAGUUGCUACAAUCGAAGAUUCUGAGAUAGUCAACGCCCCAUGGUCAGAAACGGGGAUAUACACAAAGCUUAAAAAUACCAACGCUCAAAGAAGAAAUCGGCAGGUAGGUAGAAAAAUACAAAGGAAGAACGGCAACGCAACCAAACCAGCUGGCUGCUGAUGCGAGCAAAACUCUCACAAAAAGAAGACUGAAGAGUAAACACCAAACUCACCUUACUAAAGAUGUAAAAUAGACGAACUCGAAGAUGAGAGUAGCCAUCCACAUGUUAUUUAGCGAUUAAGCUAGAAAAAUUUACCGAAUCUCCGGCUGGACAAAUUAUAAAGUAUAAAUUACAUAAUAAAAAAAAAAGUGUAUAUACAGAAUCGUUUAAUAUUAUCAUCAUAGUUCGGUGUCAUUGUAGUAUUAGUAAAAUUUCAAAAUAUUUCGAAUAGCACAUGCAAUACGUUCAUAAGAGAUUGUAAACUAUAACGAAAGAUUUAUUUAUACAUAUAGUCUUCAGUGAAAGAAAAGAGCAAGUGAUAUAAAUAAACAAUUCGUUGACGACGACGAAUAUAACAAGAAUAUAUAUAGCAAAAAGGAGCAAACUGAGC